rnacentral:pre_miRNA from 1 species
UUAAGUACUUGUGCCGCGGGAAAGUCUUUGAAUCUUCCCAUGGAUCAAGUAUUUAAUA